rnacentral:rRNA from 1 species
UUUUGUGGGGUGCUCGAGUGGCGAACGGGUGAGUAACACGUGAGUAACCUGCCCUUGACUUUGGGAUAACUUUAGGAAACUGGGGCUAAUACCGGAUAGGAGCUCCUGCUGCAUGGUGGGGGUUGGAAAGUUUCGGCGGUUGGGGAUGGACUCGCGGCUUAUCAGCUUGUUGGUGGGGUAGUGGCUUACCAAGGCUUUGACGGGUAGCCGGCCUGAGAGGGUGACCGGCCACAUUGGGACUGAGAUACGGCCCAG